rnacentral:rRNA from 1 species
AACGAACGCUGGCGGCAUGCCUAAUACAUGCAAGUCGAACGAGAUCUUCGGAUCUAGUGGCGCACGGGUGCGUAACGCGUGGGAAUCUGCCCUUGGGUUCGGAAUAACUUCUGGAAACGGAAGCUAAUACCGGAUGAUGACGUAAGUCCAAAGAUUUAUCGCCCAAGGAUGAGCCCGCGUAGGAUUAGCUAGUUGGUGGGGUAAAGGCCCACCAAGGCGACGAUCCUUAGCUGGUCUGAGAGGAUGAUCAGCCACACUGAGACUGAGACACGGCCCAGACUCCUACGGGAGGCAGGAGUAGGGAAUAUUGGACAAUGGGCGAAAGCCUGAUCCAGCAAUGCCGCGUGAGUGAUGAAGGCCUUAGGGUUGUAAAGCUCUUUUACCCGGGAUGAUAAUGACAGUACCGGGAGAAUAAGCUCCGGCUAACUCCGUG